rnacentral:rRNA from 1 species
UCUUCCCUCUUCCCUCAUGCUUAACACAUGCAAGUCGAUGGGGAAGUGGUGCUUGCACCCUGGCAACCAUGGCGGACGGGUGAGUAACGCGUAAGGGACUUACCUGCAGGACUGGGAUAACAGGGGGAAACUCCUGACAAGACCGGAUAAUGUCAUGGAGCUGCAUGGCUUUAUGAUGAAAGGAGACGCCUGCGGAGAGCCUUGCGUCCUAUUAGCUAGUUGGUGAGGUAAUGGCUCACCAAGGCGAAGAUAGGUAGCCGGCCUGAGAGGGUGGACGGCCACAAGGGGACUGAGAUACGGCCCUUACUCCUACGGGAGGCAGCAGUGGGGAAUAUUGGACAAUGGGGGCAACCCUGAUCCAGCAAUUCUGUGUGCACGAAGAAGGUUUUCGAAUUGUAAAGUGCUUUCAGCAGGGAAGAAGUAAGUGACGGUACCUGCAGAAGAAGCGACGGCUAAAUACGUG